AAAUCAUUGAGCAGUUCGUCUGCUCAAUCAUAUGUGAGUACCCAUUUUAUUUUAUAUACUCCUUAUAUACUAUUUUAUACAGUGAGCACUGUUAGUUGUCUCCUUUUUCUUUUAUGAUCUAUAUAUAUAUAUAUCUAUAUAUAUCUAUAUAUAUAUACUCUACAUGUAUCCUACAAGCGGGGAUUAUACCGCUGUAAGCCAUUCACACUAGAGCUGGUUCAAGCUCUACCGCACGUGAGUAGGACUAUAUUAGUCUCUAUUGUUGUUAUACCAUCUUUACUAGAUGUACUGCCCUAUCAUCUGUCUUUUUUUCCCCACAUACAGACAAAAAGACCAACACCCCUCUACGUAUCCCAUAAGCGGGGAUUGUACCGCUGUACGCCAUCCACACUAGAGCUAGUUUAGCUCAACUACACAUCCUGGAAAGCUGCCUCCAUUUCAUCCAUACAGAGAAUAUCCCUCUUCAUAGGCCGUUGAUACCCCAUCAGGCUCCACUAAAGAGUUUGUUUUAUAUUACUUUGGACUUUGCUUUUCACUAUUUUGGACUUUGUUCAUAUUAGCUGGACUACAGCCAGCUUUGGCGCAACCUUCAUUUGUCUUGUUUUGCCAUAUAACUUGUUUUAUUAGUUUUGGUGCAUGGAAUUAUUCCUAUUUUUCAGUUUCGUGCUAACAGAAAUUUAGCUGCCGUGAUUAUGUGUAAUAUUCACACUGGCAUAUUUGGCCAGUUCAUGUUUAGUAAGACCAUUUCAGGCUUAAGAGGUAAUUUUAUUUUGGUUAUUUGAUAUAUUAUCUUAAUUACUUCUUUCCAAAAUGUGUUUAUGGGUGUGCACUGCCACCAGAAGUGAAUCAAAUUACCUUCAUUAAUAUUGCAUUUCCAGCAUCUAUCUGCUAAGUCUGGGAGGAUUUUCUUUAAGCGUUUCGGUGUUAGAAACAAUCUAUUUGAUAGUUUAAAUUGGGUUUCUGUAAGGUUUAAGAAGUGUAUAUUUUUUUUAGUUAGUUUAAAGAGCUUAUCCAUUCUUCUUCUUCUAUAUGUACUUAGAGUUCUUUUUCCCAUUUAUUAAUCAGUGCUAUCGGUGUGUCAUGUCUCCAUCUAUAUACAACUUUGGCACAUUUUGCCCUUAGAUUUUUAUAAAUCUUUAGAACAAAUAGAUAUAUAUAAGGUUUAUGGUAUUCUCCCCCUUGUUUUUAUAGAGGUGUUCUGCUAAGAAACUCUUAAUUCGCAGAUAAUUGAACGUUUCACUGGGGGGGGGGAGGUAUGUUAAAUUCCUCCAUAAUUUGUUUGAAGGGUUUGAGAUUAUGUUCCACUACUAUAUUGUUAAAUUCCCUUAUCCCCCCCAGACGUCCAAAUGUCUGUUUUUAUAUUUUCUAACAUAUCUGAAAUACUUGAGAAUGGGAGCGCAUCUAUUAUUUUAUUUCUGAGUCCUUUGUUGUUUGUAAAUUUAUCCCACCACCUAAUAUACCUCUACAACCCAAAAUAGUGAUAGUAUUGCAAAAUUUCUGGGCAUCCCAAGCCUCUGUCCUGCCUUGAUCUGGCCAAAACCUUCAUUUUAACUUGUCAGGGUGUUUAUAUCGGCAGACAUCUUGUGCUAUGAUAGAAAUUAAAAGUGUAUAUGCUGAGUCACUUUUGAACAGAGCAGACUCCAUUUUGUUAUUUUCAAGCUAACAAAAGACACAAGAUUUCUAUCUGUAAAACUAACCACUUUCCCAGAGCUAAAGGAAUGCAUAGUAUAUACAAACCAAGUCAUAAGGAGAACGGGGGUUGGACAGACUGUCU
rnacentral:lncRNA from 1 species